CUCACUACAAUAGUCAUUCUCCAGUGCUCCUCUGUCUGUUGGUCUGUGUAUCUGUCUGUCACACCAUUGAAACCUCACCUUGCUCUCGUGCAGCCAUGUCUGAUGUAGAGGAGGAAUACGAGGGGGAGCAGGCGGAAGGUGAGUGGGUUGCUGUGCUGAGGUGUUAGUGUUGUCAUUGUUGGACCACACUUGGCCUUGCAUGUGGAAGUCUAUGACCCUGUUAUUAUUAGCCUGUUCUCUCAGCUCCUAUUGCUUUCAGCACACUGCUGACAUUUUUUUUUUUAAAGCCCCAAUCCUCUGCCCUCUAUUAGCCACACACUCUCCAUCUCACUUUUCACUCUCCAUCUCCCUCCAUUCCUUUAAUAUUCUAUCUAUUUAAUCAUCAUUCUAAUGUCUCUCCAUCCCCUUGUCUCAUUUAUGUAUUUUUCCUCUCCACACUUGUCUUUCUUAAUUUCUUCCCUGUCUACCACAUUGCCCUGAUUUCGUCAGUGCCCCAUGUCCCUUAUCUUGUCCUCUGAACUGCUCUCUGACUUUUUCUCUCUCCAUUUGCCCCCCCCCCCCCCUUCUCUCUCUCUCUUUCUCUCUCUUUCUCGCUCUCUCCAGAGGAGGCAGAGGAGGAGCAGGCGGCUGAGCCAGAGGAGGAGCCAGAAGAAGAAC